rnacentral:rRNA from 1 species
GGUUAAAGUAGUAAGGGCGCAGGGUGGAUGCCUUGGCACUAAGAGCCGAUGAAAGACGUGAUAAGCUGCGAAAAGCUUCGGGGAGGAGCACAUAUCCAAUGAUCCGGAGAUAUCUGAAUGGGGAAACCCGGCAGAGGAAACCUCUGUCAGCGUGCAGUGAAUACAUAGCUGUACGUGGGGAACCCGGGGAACUGAAACAUCUAAGUACCCGGAGGAAGAGAAAGAAAAUUUAUCGAUUUCCAAAGUAGCGGCGAGCGAAAUGGAAAGA